rnacentral:rRNA from 1 species
UACGGAGGGUGCGAGCGUUACCCGGAAUCACUGGGCGUAAAGGGCGUGUAGGCGGGAUGUUAAGUCUGGUUUUAAAGACUGCGGCUCAACCGCAGGAGUGGACUGGAUACUGACAUUCUGGACCUCUGGAGAGGGAACUGGAAUUCCUGGUGUAGCGGUGAAAUGCGUAGAUACCAGGAGGAACACCAAUGGCGAAGGCAGGUUCCUGGACAGAAGGUGACGCUGAGGCG